rnacentral:rRNA from 1 species
AUUGAACGCUGGCGGCAGGCCUAACACAUGCAAGUCGAACGGUAACAGGAAUCAGCUUGCUGUUUCGCUGACGAGUGGCGGACGGGUGAGUAAUGUCUGGGAAACUGCCUGAUGGAGGGGGAUAACUACUGGAAACGGUAGCUAAUACCGCAUAACGUCGCAAGACCAAAGAGGGGGACCUUCGGGCCUCUUGCCAUCGGAUGUGCCCAGAUGGGAUUAGCUUGUAGGUGGGGUAACGGCCCACCUAGGCCACGAUCCCUAGCUGGUCUGAGAGGAGGACCAGCCACACGGGAACUGUGACACGGUCCAGACUCCUACGGGAGGCAGCAGUGGGGAAUAUUGCACAAUGGGCGCAAGCCUGAUGCAGCCAUGCCGCGUGUAUGAAGAAGGCCUUCGGGUUGUAAAGUACUUUCAGCGGGGAGGAAGGGAGUAAAGUUAAUACCUUUGCUCAUUGACGUUACCCGCAGAAGAAGCACCGGCUAACUCCGUGCCAGCAGCCGCCGUAA